UACGUAGGGUCCGAGCGUUGUCCGGAGUUACUGGGCGUAAAGCGCGCGCAGGCGGCUCGUCAAGUCUGGCGUGAAAGCCCCCGGCUCAACCGGGGAGGGUCGUCGGAGACUGGCGGGCUUGAGGGCGGUAGGGGCUGGUGGAAUUCCCGGUGUAGUGGUGAAAUGCGUAGAGAUCGGGAGGAACACCCGUGGCGAAGGCGGCCAGCUGGGCCGACCCUGACGCUGAGGCGCGAAGGCGUGGGGAGCGAACGGG
rnacentral:rRNA from 1 species